UUUUUCCAGCACUGUCCAUCUGGUGUAUCUCAUAACACAGUGUUAAUAUAUCUAAAUGUGUAGAAGACCAGAAACAAAAACGGCAGCUUCAGGGAAUGCAAUAAUGAAACUGUUUCACCAGUUUUGUUCUGCUGGAGACAGUUGGAUUACAAUAGAUGUCUGAUGGCCAGGGCACAGCAGUGCCAAAGAAGAGAAAUAGAUAAGGAAAAUACAUAGACUGAGAACAAUGUUUAGAAAUGUUGAUGCUUAGUUCAAUAGAUUAAAGCUGAAGAAGGAAUGGAGUUAAAGGACUAUGGAGAACUCCUUUAAAAAUGUGUUAAUUUAAAAAUGUAUUAUCUUUGCAAGCAAUUUUUGGGAGGGGCUUCUUGUGCAUAAGUACUACAUUUCUUGUAAAACAGUAUGAGUGCCAAAGUGAGAUUUGUGUUUGGACUUUUAGCAGGGGGUUGGACUGGUUUAUCUCCAGUGGUCCCUCCUACCCCCUAUGGUUCUGUGAUUCCUACUUCAGAUGCUGAACAUGCUAAUUGCUAAUGCUCUUUCCCUUUCUUGUUCCUUAUUGGAACUUGUAGAGUACCAGUCCCCAACAUGUGAUUUGUGAAGAAUUUGUUGACUCCAAAACUUGUGAAACUGUUCAAACUCAAAGCAAACUGAAGUACUGAAACUGAGGGAAAUGUGGGAGUGCUGCCGGAUGUUCCCACAGUGUGUUAUUGUGGUCUUCACAGCUGCCAGUGAAGAGGACUGUUGGUGCAAAAAUGCUAAGCUCUCUCCUCGCGCUACAUUGCAAAGCAGUAUGGCACUGCCAGAAGCCAGUCAGAGUUGAUGCUUGGCCUUGUGACAAGGAGAAGAGACAGGUGUGUUUCUGGGCAGCAUCUCUCUGGUGAAGGCCCAUCCCAGCUGUUGAUGCAUAAAGGCACUGGGAUCCUAGCUUUCCAUAUCUCAAUAUGUCCUGCUUCUAAUACCUCUUGGCAAAAAAAAAGCUUAACUGUUAACAGAAUGUUAUGAUGCCGUUCAAAAUUGUAAAAGGUGUCAGGCUGUGAUUUUGCAACAGCUUUGCUCUUUUGUGACUUGAUUGAAUCCAGCAGGAUUGGAUUUGAAUCAAAUUGCUCCUGUGCUGUUGGUUGGAAAAAGCUUAAGUGAAGCAUUACAGUGUUUUUCCCAUCCGCUCUUGUUUGUUAUUUAUGUUAAGAAAUAAGUAGAUUGAUGUUUGAUUAUAUUUUUAAGGUACAGCCUGCUGCUAGGGGCUGAACAAAACUUUUGGAAUGGAGAUGGGAGAAAUUCUGUAAGUGCAUUUUAUGCUGUUUGAGUGAUGCUUAGGUUUUUGUAACCCAAGGUCUGACCAGCAUUCUCAGCUGGAUAUCCUAGCAAAAAGUGAAAGGGAGAGACUAUAGAUGAAAGCAUGUGUAUUCUGAGCAACCUUCAUGCAAGUUUUUUAGAACUUCAUCACGAACAUGCAUUAAUGCCUGUUUUACCCACGUGAAUUAGAGAGAAAUUUACUGGUCUCCCUUGUAUUUAGGUCAGCUCAUGUUUUCCACUAUAAAGGCAAUUCUUUCUUUGGGAGUUUCCGAAGAUGGCUGUUUAUAGCAGAACUUUGAUGAUCAGCAGAGGGAUUUUCUGUUUUAGAAGUCAUUGUUUCUUGCUUCUCUCAAAAAUAUCUGUAUCUAGUGAAAGUAAUUGAAUGAUAUGCUACAAACACAAUGAAGAUGAUAAACCAAC
ensembl:lncRNA